rnacentral:rRNA from 1 species
CCCUUCGGGCUGCGAGUAGAGUGGCAAACGGGUGAGUAACGCGUGGGUGACCUACCUUCGAGUGGGGGAUAACGUUUCGAAAGGAACGCUACUACCGCAUAUCAUCCCGCCUUUGGAAAGGUGGUGAUCAAAGCCGGGGAUCGCAAGACCUGGCGCUUGAUGAGGGGCCCGCGUCCGAUUAUCUUGUUGGUGGGGUAACGGCUCACCAAGGCGACAAUCGGUAGCCGGCCUGAGAGGGCGGACGGCCACUCUGGGACUGAAACACGGCCCAGACUCCUACGGGAGGCAGCAGGGGGGAAUUGUUCGCAAUGGGCGAAAGCCUGACGACGCAACGCCGCGUGGAGGACGAAUACCUUAGGGUUGUAAACUCCUGUCGAGCGGGACGAAUACCACCUGAGUUAAUACCUCGUGUGGCUGACGGUACCGUUAAAGGAAGCCCCGGCUAACUCCGUGCCAGCAGCCGCGGUAAUACGGGGGGGGCAAGCGUUGUUC